CCGCGGCUUUGACAAGCCUGACCGUAAAAACUGCUAAGGAAGGGGAUUCCACCACCUCCCUAGGGAUCCCAUUCAAAUGCUUCACCAGCCUCCUAGUGAAAUAGUGUUU